rnacentral:tRNA from 1 species
AGCUUCCGUAGUUAAAUGGAUAUAAUAAACCCCUCCUAAGGGUUAGUUAUGGGUUCGAUUCCCGUCGGGAUUACCA